rnacentral:lncRNA from 1 species
UAUUUCAGAUAGUCCAAAAUAUUAAGUUUGAAAAGCUCUAUCAGGUAUGUCAAAGUUAAAUUUUUUGCAAGUUGGAGAAGUUUUUGAAGCCUUUUAAAAGUGUCAAACACAUUUAAAUUCAUUUAAGAGCAUUUGGUAGUAUUCUGGUAAGUUUCAGAUCUUAAAUAUAUGAAAAACUGGAUUGAAACAAAAUGAAGCAACCCAACUGGGUCAUCCCCUUUCAUUAGGUAGUCGGCAUGCUCUAUUUUUGACUUAUGGCACGCAGUGGAACGACCCAUGGGAUGACCCCUGAGACCCUGUGAUCAAAAUAGAGAGAGUAUUUUUUAGACUGACCAAAUGAGACGACCCAUG